ACGGGGCCGCCCGGCCUCCGCCUGGCCCGAGCGAUAAAGCUCUCGUGCCGAACCAGGGCGGGAAGUCCUUCCUGAAGUCUGCCCUGCGUGGGGCCUGCUGCCAGAAGCCUGGGCCGGAGGGGAGGGGCGAGGACGAAGUAGCGAACCGUCCGCUGGCUGUCUUAGAAGGAUGAAAAGUGAAUUCUGAGCCUGGCUGUGGGAGCUGCGAAAUCUGCUUGCCCAGAAUGGCAGACAAGAUCUUGGAGACGAGACGGUUUUAGGUCUGCAGUCAACCAGCUCUAUUUUGUCUCACCAGCACUUCACAUCCGGCUUACUACCUCCGGGCACUAUUCUAAGUAUGUUACAAAUACGAACUCAUUUUAUCUUCACAAUAUUUUUGGUCCUGCCUGUGCAGAUCCCUUUUGGACAGUGAGGGAAACUGAGGCACAGAGCGGAGAAGCUGCUUGCUCAAGGUCAUCAUUUGAACCCAUGUCGGAGUUAUCAAAACGCACUCGUGGACGGCCUGCGGACCACUAGUUUGAGACCCCAGCCUCAACAUGAGCAUCUGUGCAAAUAGACACGAACUGUCCUCCUCCCAGAAGUAGACCUGGGCAUCCUGACCCCAUGAACACAGGGACUUGCUGUCUCUCCCCAAACUGGAUUCAGGCAUCAUGGCUUUUGAACACAGGGCUGAUGAUCCUUCCCAGAAGAGAAUGCAGGCAUCUUGGCCCCAUAAAAAUAGGGGUCCUGGGCCGGGCUCAGUAGCUCACGGCCUGUAAUCCCAGAACUUUGGGAGGCCUAGGCCGGUGGAUCACCUGGGGUCAGGAGUUCAAGACCAGCCUGGCCAACAUGGCUAAACCCUGUCUCUAUUAAAAAUACAAAAAUUAGCCGGGCGUGGUGGUGCACACCUGUAGUCCCAGCUACUCAGGAGGCUGAGGGAGGAGAAUCGCUUGAACCUGGGAGGCAUAGGUUGCAGUGAGCCAAGAUCGCACCACUGCACUCAAGCAUGGGUGACAGGGCAAGCAAGACUCCAUCUCAAAAAAAAAAAAAAAGUAAAAAAAAAAAAAAUUAGCCAGGCAUGGUGGCACAUGCCUGUAGUCCCAGCUACUCGGGAGGCUGAGGCAGGAGAAUCGCUUGAACUGGGAGGAGGCUGAGGCAGGAGAAUCGCUUGAACUGGAAGGAGGCUGAGGCAGGAGAAUUGGGAGGCAUAGGUCGCAGUAAGCUGAGAUCAUGCCACUCUGCACUCCAGCCUGGGUGACAGAGUGAGACUGCGUCUCAAAAAAAAAAAAAAAAAAUAGGGGUCCAGGCCGGGUCCAGUGGUUCAUGCCUGUAAUCCCAGUACUUUGGGAGGCUGAGGUGGGAGGAUCAUUUGAGCCCAGGAGUUUAAGACCAGCCUGGGCAAAAUGGUGAAACCUCAUUUUUACUAAAAAUACAAAAAUUAGCUGGGCGUGGUGGCACAGGCCUGUAGUCCCAGCUAAUCAGGAGGCUGAGGCAGGAGGAUCACCAGAGCCUGGGAAGCGGAGGUUGCAGUGAGCCAAGAUCACACCGCUGCAUUCAAGCGUGGGUGAUAGAGUGAGACCCUGUUCUCAUAAAAGAGGCGGAGGGGUCCUUAGCUAGAGGUUUCCUUGCUUGGAUUCUCAGAGAGUCAACGGACUCCCACACUGGUAAUAGUAAUGACAAGUAACAUAUAUUAAACAUCCAUCAUGCCCCAGUACUUUUAUUGUUUAAUUUUUUUUUGUUUAUUUAUUUAUAAAACAGGGUCUUUUUAUUUUAUUUAUUUAUUUUUUUGAGACAGAGUCUCGCUCUGUCGCCCAGGCUGGAGUGCAGUGAUGGGAUCACAGCUGUCUGUGGUCUUGUCCUCCUGGGCUCCAGCCAUUCUCCUUCCUCAGCCUCCCAAGUAACUGGGUCCACAGGUGCACACCACCACGCCUGAUUAUUUUUUAAAUUUUUUGUAGAGACAGGGGUCUCACUAUGUUGCCUAGGUUGGUCUGGAACUCCUGGGCUCAAGCAAUCCUCCUGCCUCAGUUUCUCAGAAUGCUGGGAUUACAGGCAUGAGCCACUGUGUGCCUAGCCCAAUGUUUUAUUGUUAUUCACAUUCUGACUGCACAUCCUAUGAGGUAGGGACCUGUGCUGUCUCAACUCACAGAUGAGGAAACUGAGGCACAGAGCUGUGACCACUUCCCCAACAUCACCCACAGGUGGCAGAGGGGAUUCUAAGUCAGGCCAUCUGGACUCACAGCCCACAGUCUUUCAUGAGGGCUGCAUGCGGGCUUAGGAAACCAAGGCAGGCGAAUGGGUUCAGGCCAGGAGUUGGAAACAUGCCUGGGUAGGCAACACAGUGAGACCUCAUCUCUACAGAAAAUUUAAAAAUUAGCCAGGUGUGGUGGUGUGCACCUGUAGUCCCAGCUACUCGGGAAACUGAGGUGGGAGAAUUGCUUGAGCCUAGGAGGUGGAAGCUGCAGUGAGCUGUGAUCAUCAGCUGUGAUCAUGCCACUGCACUCCAGCCUGGGCAACAGAGCAAGACCCUGUCAAAAAAAAAAAAAAAAAAAGAGGCAGCCCUUGACCCACCCACAAACUUCUUUUUCUUUGCCCACAAGGGUUUUGUGUUGUUGUUGUUUUGGGGGUGGGGGUCGGUUUUUUAUUUUUGAGGCGGAGUCUUGCUCUGUUGCCCAGGCUGCAGUGCAGUAGCGCGAUCUCGGCUCACUACAACCUCCGCCUCCCGGGUUCAAUCGAUUCUUCUGCCUCAGCCUCCAGAGUAGCUGGGAUUACAGGCAUGUGCCACCACACCCAGCUAAUUUUUGUAUUUUUAGUAGAGACGAGGCUUUGCCAUGUUGGCCAGGCUGGUGUUUUGUUUUGCUUUUGAGAAAGGGUCUCGCUCUGUCGCCCAAGCUGGAGUGCAAUGGUGCGAUCACAGCCUACUGCAGCCUCGACCUCACAGGCUCAAGCGUUCCUCCCACCCCAGCCUCCCCAGUUAGGUUUCCGCAUGUUGCCCAGGCUGGUCUGGAACUCCUGGGCUCAGGUGAUCCACCCAUCUCGGCCUUCCGUGAUACUGGGAUUACAGACGUGAGCCACCACGCCCAGCUGUGGGGAGGAUUUUGACUAGUGAUAACGCUUAUGGCCAAAUAGACUCUUGGCCUCUCCCCAUCUUUUCUACCUCCAGCCACCAAGCCAGAUUCCCACUAUCCUUCACACUCAUUUUCUUCUCAAAAGAACAUUAUAGGCCGGUGUGGUGGCUCACACCUGUAAUCCCAGCAUUUUGGGAGGUCAAGGAGGAACGAUUGCUUGAGGUCUGGAAUUUGAGACCAGCCUGGGCAACAUAGUGAGACCCUGUCUCUACAAACAAACAAACAAAUAAAGAACAUUCCGGGGCUGGGCAUGGUGCCUCAUGACCAUAAUCCAGGCACUUUGGGAGGCCAAGGAGGGAGGAUCACUUGAGCCCAGGAGUUUGAGACCAACCUGGGCAACAUAAUGAGACCCCAUCUUUACUAAAAAAAGAAAAGAAAAGAAAAAAGAAGGAGAAGAAGGAGGAGGAGGAGGAGGAGGAAGAAGAAAAAAGAAGAAGGAGGAGGAGGAGGAGAAGAAGAGAACAUUCCAGGCUGGGCAUAGUGGCUCAUACCUGUAAUUCCAGCACUUUGGGAGGCUGAGGCAGGUGGAUCACCUGAGAUCAGUAGUUCGAAACCAGCCUGGUCAACAUGGUGAAACCCCGUCUCUACUAAAAAUACAAAAAAAAUUAGCCAGGCGUGGUGGUAGGUGCCUGUAAUCCCAGCUACUCAGGAGGCUGAGGCAGGAGAAUCACUUGAACGCAGGAGGUGGUGGUUGCAUUGAGCAGACAUUGGGCCACCACAUUCCAUCCUGGGUGACAGAGCGAGACUCCGUCUUAAAAAAAAAAAAAAAAAGAACAUUCCAGUACAUCUGGCCUCCGAGUAUCUACCCUGCAAUGGGCAGUCUGGACAUUGAUCAGUGAGUGAGAGGUGUGAGGUACAGGUGGGACCAUGAGCUAGCAGAGGGCUAGAGACUGCCCCUCUCUCAACUUCAUCAGUGUCAAGCAACAGGAAAUACUGACAAUAAUUAGUUAUACAAGUGAUAAUAGCUAACACUUAUUAGGCACUUACUAUAUGUCCAAUACUGCACUAAAUGACUUCCAGUGUGAUCUCAUUUAAUAAGUGUCUAAAGCAGCAUUUCUCAAACGUCUUUGAACUCGAUCUAUGGCCAGAAAAAUACCUUCCUUGUAACCUAAUAUGUAUUCACUAUACAUCAAUAAAAUUUCCACAAAAUAUUACUUUCCGUUGACUUCAUAAUUUUUUAAAAUUAUAUUUUGUUUUGUUUUUUUAAGAGGGAGUCUGGCUCAGCACCCAGGCUGGAGUGCAGUGGUGCAAUCUCGGCUCACUGCAACCACCGUCUCCCGGGUUCAAGUGAUUCUCCCAUCUCAGCCUCCUGAGUAGCUGGGAUUACAGGCACCGC
rnacentral:lncRNA from 1 species